AUUGAACGCUGGCGGAAGGCCUAACACAUGAAAGUCGAACGAGUGGCGGACGGGUGAGUAAUGUCUGGGAAACUGCCAGAUGGCGGGGGAUAACUACGGGAAACGGUAGAUAAUACCGCAUACCAUCGGAUGUGCCCAGAUGGGAGUAGAGAGGAGGUGGGGUAACGGCUCACCUAGGCGACGAUCCCUAGCUGGUCUGAGAGGAUGACCAGCCACACUGUAACUGAGACACGGUCCAGACUCCUACGGUAGGCAGCAGUGGGGAAUAUUGCACAAUGGGCGCAAGCCUGAUGCAGCCAUGCCGCGUGUAUGAAGAAGGCCUUCGGGUUGUAAAGUACUUUCAUCGAGGAGGCGUUACUCGCAGAAGAAGCACCGGCUAACUCCGUGCCAGCCGCCGCGGUAAUAC
rnacentral:rRNA from 1 species